rnacentral:rRNA from 1 species
UACGUAGGGAGCAAGCGUUUGUCCGGAAUCAUUGGGCGUAAAGCGCGCGUAGGCGGCCUCAUAAGUCCGUUGUGAAAGUCAAAGGCUCAACCUUUGAAAGCCGAUGGAUACUGUGAGGCUAGAGUCCGGAAGAGGCGAGUGGAAUUCCUGGUGUAGCGGUGGAAUGCGCAGAUAUCAGGAGGAACACCAAUAGCGAAGGCAGCUCGCUGGGACGGUACUGACGCUGAUGCGCGAAAAGCGUGGGGAGCAAACGGGG